ACGAACGCUGGCGGCAUGCCUAACCCAUGCAAGUCGAACGAACCCUUCGGGGUUAGUGGCGCACGGGUGCGUAACGCGUGGGAAUCCGCCCUUUGCUUCGGAAUAACUCAGGGAAACUUGUGCUAAUACCGGAUGAUGUCUUCGGACCAAAGAUUUAUCGGCAAGGGAUGAGCCCGCGUAGGAUUAGGUAGUUGGUGGGGUAAAGGCCUACCAAGCCGACGAUCCUUAGCUCGUCUGAGAGGAUGAUCAGCCACACUGGGACUGAGACACGGCCCAGACUCCUACGGAAGGCAGCAGUGGGGAAUAUUGGACAAUGGGCGCAAGCCUGAUCCAGCAAGGCCGCGUGAGUGAUGAAGGCCCUCGGGACGUAAAGCUCUUUUACCAGGGAUGAUAAUGACAGUACCUGGAGAAUAAGCUCCGGCUAACUCCGUG
rnacentral:rRNA from 1 species